CCUCAUCUCGCUCCCAGUCUCCCGCCUCCUUAAGCCUUCUUAACGUGUACCCCACGUCCCGACAACUGCCAGCCAUGACCGCCGAUGUAGUACGCGGCGGCACCGGGAUCGACAGUGAACCUUCUCGGCAACCUCGCCGUCCGACAAGACAUCUUCAUCGAUUCCGUUUGUACCGCGUUAAAAGGUGGCCAAGAACAAGUCCUACGUGUCCAGCCACCUGCCCAUUGACGACGACCCUUUAGAUAAACCUGACGGCCAAGCCUUGGAACAACUCUGAGGAACUUUUCUGCGAUCGCGUCAGGCAAGCACAAGGCACCGUGAAAGGAGCCCUGCACCAAGCAAGCGUCGGAUUCAGGGGCAGCAAAUACCGCCUGAUAAAUAGCAGCUUCAUCACAACUGCUAGACCUAUGUCCACUUUAAACCAUCCUGACUGAAUAUGUCUCCAUCA